rnacentral:rRNA from 1 species
AUGUCUGUUCCGGCUACAUUGAGCUUAACUGAAAUUAUUGACACUUCUGCACCUGAAGCUCUGGAAUGCAGUCUAGAUGGGGAUGGCAGCAACUCCAACUCAGCACUCAUAGUUGGUGGGUCUCCCACAAAUGAUUCUGGGGUUAUGAACAUUGAGGAGGGCAAUGUUCAAGCGUUGGAGAUUUCCCAGAUGGACAUGGACAUGCCAGUAUCUCUGACAACUACAACCAUAGCUACCUUUGUUACCCCUGCUUCUGCUAGUCGGCAUGGAAAGGCACCAGCCCCUGACUCUAUUAUCUCCCUUUUGUAG